UACGUAGGAUCCAAGCGUUAUCCGGAUUUACUGGGCGUAAAGAGUUGCGUAGGUGGCAGAGUAAGUUGGUAGUGAAAGCGUCUCGCUCAACGAGAUACACAUUAUCAAAACUGCUCCGCUUGAGGAUGAGAGAGGUUAUUGGAAUUCCAAGUGUAGGAGUGAAAUCCGUAGAUAUUUGGAGGAACACCGAUGGCGUAGGCAGAUAACUGGCUCAUUCCUGACACUAAGGCACGAAAGCGUGGGGAGCGAACGGG
rnacentral:misc_RNA from 1 species